GAUGAACGCUAGCGGCAGACCUAAUACAUGCAAGUCGACCGGGAUCUGAGGGUAGCUUGCUACCCGAUUUGAGAGUGGCGCACGGGUGCGUAACGCGUGAGCAACCUACCCAUAUCAGGGGGAUAGCCCGAAGAAAUUCGGAUUAACACCGCAUAAUAAUACGCUAACACAUGUUGAUGUAUUUAAAUAUUUAUAGGAUAUGGAUGGGCUCGCGUGACACUAGCUAGUUGGUAAGGUAACGGCUUACCAAGGCGACGAUGUCUAGGGGCUCUGAGAGGAGAAUCCCCCACACUGGUACUGAGACACGGACCAGACUCCUACGGGAGGCAGCAGUAAGGAAUAUUGGUCAAUGGGCGCAAGCCUGAACCAGCCAUGCCGCGUGCAGGAUGACUGCCCUAUGGGUUGUAAACUGCUUUUGUUAGGGAAUAAACCUUCUUACGUGUAAGGAGCUGAAUGUACCUAAAGGAUAAGGAUCGGCUAACUCCGUGCCAGCAGCCGCCGCAG
rnacentral:rRNA from 1 species